ensembl:lncRNA
AGAGAAAUCAUUGAGUGAAGGCAGGAUACAUGUCUCUUGCACUUCCUUUUCCUUCCUCGGAAGUCUACACCAGAAUUUCUCAAGAGCUUCACCAUUGACAUUUUGGGCUGGAUAACACUGCUGUGUCUCAUGAAACCAGCUUUCAGUGCCAAUAAUGAAGCACCCUGAGAGGGGCCACAUCUCAGCACAGAUACUAGAUGUUGGAGAAGCAGCGACACAGAAAUGCCUGUAGCUGCAGACUAAAAAUAUCCCAACAAAAGGCUUCUCUCUCUAGACAACAGACUAGGUAACAGAUAAGCAAGACAUGAAAUCAAGAAACGGAGCUCCAACAACAAGAAUCAAGUAAAGGGAAUUUCUGGGAUCACAGUUGCAUAGCAGGCCUAGAAAAUUAGGAGUCAACACUGGAGCAACCAUGCUGUAUCUCUCCACCAGGGAAAUCUACACUUGAAAUGGUGCUAUGAAGAAAUGAGGACAUCAGGGAGAAAAUGUGCGAAGGUCAAAAUGGACGAUGCAACCAGGAAAUGUUACAGACAUCAGAAAUAGUAUUCACUAAAGAGAAAACAUUUGGCUGAAAAACUGCAAAUUGAAGGCUUAUAAGUUCUGGAAAAUUGGGAUGCCUUGAAAGAUUUGAGGUUUCAAUGGUUAUUUUAUGAGGGCUUUUUUUGUUACCUAACUUUGUAAUGAUCUUCCAAUUAAUAGUGUUUCUCUCUGUUAGGCUGCAGUUU